AUUUUUUUUUUAUAAGCUUUAUAUUAUUUUGUACACCCUCCUUGUGUUACACAAAAACACAAAUAUACACACACACACACAGAGACACACAAGAGCAAAUUAUUUAUUACAAAGUCAAUAAGUCUAAAUUGCUAUAUUUUCCGCAGUUUUUGUUGUUUAAAUCUAGUUUUUGCUGAAAGCUUAAGUGAACUUAAAAUCUAAAAUUAAUAGGGACUAAUUUUAUCAUCAUAUUCUAGUUUCUUUUGCGCGGUACAGUCAGAAAUCAAUUGUUAACUAAGAUGGCCAUCGGAUGGGUAAAAAGAAAACUUUAGAGUUUAAGUUUUAGAAAUCGGUUUAGGCGCGAUUAGAAUUGUGCCCAAACCGAUUUUCGAAACAAAAUUUCAAAUUAAAAAAAAAAAAAACUGUUAAACGUUAUACGAGUUUUAAACGAUCAAUCAGAAAAAAAUAUUUAUAUUAAAAUCGAUCGUUUGAAAGGCGUAUGUGUUCGACUCGGGUAGCUAGACGUUAUCCGCGCCGUAACACGAAAUAGAGCGGGAUAAAAAAAAAAAAAACAAUUUUAGAUGAACAAAACAAUAAAAAUAUAUAUAUA
rnacentral:sRNA from 1 species